rnacentral:rRNA from 1 species
UACGUAGGGGGCAAGCGUUGUCCGGAUUUACUGGGCGUAAAGAGCGUGUAGGCGGCCACGCAGGUCCGUUGUGAAAACUGGAGGCUCAACCUCCAGCUGUCGACGGAAACCGUAUGGCUAGAGUCCGGAAGAGGAGAGUGGAAUUCCUGGUGUAGCGGUGAAAUGCGUAGAUAUCAGGAGGAACACCGGUGGCGAAGGCGGGUCUCUGGGCCGAUACUGACGCUGAGGAGCGAAAGCGUGGGGAGCGAACAGG